UUCUUUUCGGCUGGAAUGGGGAAUUUGUGAGGUAGGCCGGAAGUGGUGUUGCGGAGGGAAGUGUGGGGAGAGCAGAGGCGCAGCUCUGCUGGAGAGACCUGAGGCUUGCAGCGCUGGGCCCGGCCGGGUCGCUGCGGCUGGGCUGGAGGUGAGGCGAAAGAAGGGCAUCCUCUGAUGGGAGUGGACCGGAGUCCGCUAAAGCGAAGCAUUCCAGGGUUCGUUGCGGGAAAUACAGUCUGGUUUUGCCCCCCGUAUGAAUUGAGGGAAGGUCAAGGAUGCAUUCCAGGAAAGUUCUAUAAAAAUAUACCAUCAACUCCAACCUGAUAUUUGACCUAGCCAUGGAAAACCUCAUUGGCUCCUCACUGGAUCAGACCAUAAAAAUGAUCCAGGAAUGAAAAUCUAAGAUAAAUUCCCACCACUUCAAGAUGUUCUUAUACAAGUCAACAGUCUAGCAGAUCAGCCAGUCUCUUUCAUCAUCAAGCAGACAUACUCAAGGUACCAACACAGCAAAGGCACAAAAUGUCUCUAUAUCAGUAUUUUUCAUGGUAUAUGUGAGACCCAUUAGUGAGGCAUGAAAUCAAUUCUGUGAGUCACAAUGAACAUUUGUCUAAAAAACAAAAUAAAAUGUAAAAUACCAAA
rnacentral:lncRNA from 10 species